rnacentral:rRNA from 1 species
GUCUGGGGGCCAUGCCACCCUGGACGUGCCCGAGAUCUCGUCUAAUCUCGGAGCUAGGCGGGGUCGGACCAGGUUAGUACUUGGAUGGGAGGCCGCCUGGGAAUACCGGGGGCUGCAGGCU